ACCUUCGUGGGGUAGUGGUCAGCACGCUCGACGUUUAACCGAGAGGUCCGUGGCUCGAUUCCCGGUGAAGGCG
rnacentral:tRNA from 1 species